rnacentral:lncRNA from 1 species
AAGCUCAAAUGUAGUUAAUGACAGAGUAAAAUUAAAUAGGUAUCUUUACUACAGGACUUUUCUGAGCAUUUAAUAUGCUAAUGUGCAUGAUUAUGGCUUGGAGCCUCAAAUCACUUUGUGAUUCAAGAUGGCAACUGGAAGAAAGAGGAGAUAACAAAAAGGUGACACCCUACUCAAUUCCUCAAGCACUAACUUCAACCACACCUCCUCCAAGAAAUCCAAACCCACACGAAAUCAAUCCCAGGCAGAAUUAAGAGCUUCUUCUCUGUACACUGUUGCACUUUAACACAUCCUGUAUAAUGAUCAUUUCAUUUCAACGAGGUCUUUUGGGUUCUGUCUCCCAGUAAGCCAUGAAGCUAGACCAUCAUACUCAUUUUUAGAUUUUUUUGUUUGUGUUUAACAUGGAACCAUAUUUCAAGUGGAUGGAAUCUAAUUGAAAUUCAAAGCCUAGGACUGUAUUCUGAAUUCAGUACAAUUCCACUGAAGUGCAGAUAUCAUAUGACACCCUACCUAAGAAAGGGCAAUCUCCUUUUUCCUCUUGAAUUUUGAUUGCAAUUAUAAGUAAAUAGCAAGUCAUAAUUAUUAAUUCUUUUUAUCCAAGAUACAUUUGGCACCACAGAAAAAGAACUGGCUCUUCUAGCAUUUCCUAUCAACAGGUUUUCAGCUGUGUACUCACUUGCAAAUGAUUACACAUUCACAGGAAAGAAAUGUAUUUAGGUUGGAAAAAGUCCCAGAAGGCCCAUAGGGUGGGCAUUUGAUUCCUUGAUAAAAAGCCAAGCCCCACUGUCUGGAAAGGAGGAAAUUAGAAAAGGGGGAAAGAACCAUUUGCUUCAGGGCCUAAAAUAACACCAAUUGCAGCACGAACUAUGAGAAGCAAGAUAGCAGAAUUAAACAGUAGAGAAAAAUUGCCGCCUAAGACUUCUUCAGCUACAAAAUAACUUAGAAAAUAAUUUCAAAAUAAUUUCCCAAUACACAACAAUAUUUUCAGCAAGAAUAUAUCGAAAGGCAAUUUGGCAAGAUGUUUUGGAGGACUUCAACACAAGAAAAGAUGAAUUUUUACAUUAAGAAGAGAUGAAUAAAUAUUAAUGUACCAACAAAAACUAUUGAUGUACCUUUCAAUUCUAAAAUUGUAUUUCUGUAUGUGAGUUAUUUCCUUUUGUGCAUGUGUAUGUGUCUCUUCUCACCCGACCUCUCUCACUCUCUUAAUUAUACUGUAAAAAUGAAGCCAGCAGGAACUGCUUCUUAACCGUUAAUCAUUAUCCGCCCUGGCUGUUGUAAUUUUUUUUUCUUUUCUUAUGGAGAAAUUUUUCUUUCCAUUGCCUAUACUUCUCUCCAGCACAUUAAUUAUCUUUCCUGUGACAAGCCCCUAAUCCAUUUUUGUUCUGUGAAAUCUGUAGCACUUAAUGAAGAUUAUUCUCACUUUGUAAAGGCUUUAGAAGGGACUUUUCAGAUCCUGUCUAAAUGAGGGCCUCUUAAGUCAUAUGAUGAGCUUAGAUUGGAGCCCUGGUCUCUCAGAUUUGAUUAGCAGGUCCCGAUGGCUUGCUACUACUUUGCUCAGCUCUGUGAUUUUAGCAAGAAAAAAAGCAAAAAUGAAAAACAAGAGUAGCUAUCUGGAUAAUAGCAGGAACAAGUUGGAGAGGAGAACAUUCACCUGCCAUAUGCACUAUAACUGAAUAUAGUCAUUAGCUACAGAUGCCUGGUAAUUUGAAAUGGGGACCUUUAUGCCUCUUAUCUUGGGUAGUCUCAGACUUGAGACCAGUAUGUGUAAAUAAGAGCCUCUUCAUCUUCCACUGGGGCUUAGAAUUAGUAAUUCUAGCUUGUGGUUCUCCCUUCCUGUAUCUUCGUGACCUUUCUGCCUUUUAAACAAUCAGCCCUUCAUGAUUAUGCUUAUUUUUAGGUCUGCUUUCACUAUUCUCCCCCAGGAAGAGAAAAAUAUAUAAUGCAUUAAAUCCCAGUUCCAGGAAAACAGCAUCCAGGUCUAAAAAGCAGAUGUCAUUGUGACUAUCACUAACAGAACUUCAAUGACAUGCUUUCCAUCUUCUCUCACAUUUGAGGGGUAUGCCAUUACCAGCCUUAUGCUGUUGGAAACGUACACACCUUACCAGAUGUUAAUUAGAUUUGGGCUUCCAAUAUUCCAAUAUUCCCCAAAAUUAGUGAUAAACACACACUCAGGGAUUUUAACUCAGAACUACACAUCGGGCAACUUAUGGACCACCUGUGGCUGAAAUAGUGAAGUUAAUGGCUGGGAAAAAGAUGUCAUGAUUUUGAAAUAAAUCUAAAGAAUAGAAAGUAAGAAAUGAUAGUUUUCUUCAGUAACUGUGAUUAAACUCACUUCUGCUUCUUCAGAUCAGAUGAGAAAGAAAUUAUAACAACAAGAAUAACAAUAACAAUACCUAUUGAGAAUGUACCAAGGGAUUUCUUUAAUUGUACCAAGGGAUCUCUUUCAUUAAUUUGUUAUAACAAAUCUAUAGGAAAAAUUUUUUUUGUUAAUGUUUCCAUGUUACAUUUAUAUAAAUUUAGGAAAUAGAAGAAUUGAGACUCCAAGCCGAGAUUUUGUUAAGUCAGAGCCUGCGCUCUUAAUCACUAACUUUUUCACCGCAGGGCCACCAGACCCCAGGUAGAACUCUGCUCACAUUCCUCCUUCCAAGCUACACCUAAGCCUAGGCCUAGGCCUCUGAUGGAGUUUCACCAAGCAACGAGCAUGGAAAGGAGUGCAACUAGUUUGCAAACCUUUAUGAUGUGGAUGAGGCAUGAUUCGGACAACAAACACAGGAAGACAACCUCUCAUGGGAAAGGCCAUCCUUAGCCUGAUGUCCAAGACAAUAGAGAUUCUGGAACAUUGCCUGAAACUUUUAUCUUCUGGCCUUCACACAUGCGGUUCCUCUCCCUAGAAUAUUGUCUUUUUUCCCCCUUUCCUUGCCCCACCCAAACCCUGACUUCACUUGAAAACUCUUAUUUUUCUUUCAGACUCAACUUGAAACUCACUUCCU